UAUUUGCACAAUGAUGAAGUCACCUAACAAUGCAUUUCUCAGAACGUAUCCCCAUGGCUGCCUGACUGUAUGUGAAAAAAAAAUGAUUCAGUGAAAUUUUUUAGAAUAUACUGUUCUCUUUUGUCCCCACCUAUGAUAUUUUACUAUGAAGUUUUCAUCUUCUAAUGCAGUAUAUCAGUAACAGUCUCUCAACCCAUUUUCCCUCUUUCUUACUUUUUUGGGAGUCACAGACUUCGGCUGGAUGGAGUUCAGGGAGACAGAGCUCUGGCCAACCCCCAAAGCAGAACCUAUGCAGGAGGGCAUGGCGUCCACAUUGCCUCAUCCGAGGCAAAACUACAGCUAUGUCAGGAGGGCAUGGUAACACCUGAGUAAUACUUUAUAUCUUCCUCACCACCUUGCUAAAGAGAAGCCAGUUUUACACACAGUGAUAUGCUGGAGUACAGUGGCGCCAUCUCAGCUCACUGCAACCUCCACCUCCCGGGUUCAAGCGAUUUUCCUGCCUCAGCCUCCUGAGUAGGCAUGUGAUUGGCUUUGGCCAAUGGGAUAUCAGAAAAUGUGAUGCAGCAGAGACUUGAAGAUGCACUGCAGAGACUAGAUUUAUUCUUUUCUGCUGCGGCAAUUGCCAUGAAGUUGCAGUCCCAGCCUAGCCUGCUGGCCCCAGGAUGAGGGUGAGAGUCACAUGAAGUAGACCUACAAUUACCCAGUCAAGACCAGCUCAGAUUAUUUUGCCCACAGAUAACAUUCAAACAGAUGAAUGAACCCAGUGUAGAUAAGCUGAACCUUACAAACACAUGAAAGAUAAUUGUAUAUCACUGAGGUGUGAGGGUUAUUGUUGCACAAUCACCAACCAAAUUAAAAACUUUUUGGGAACAAGGCUUUUGCUUCACUCAUUUAUUAAAUCCCUGGUGUCUAGCACUCAAUAGAGGCUUAUUUAAUCUUUACUGGAUAGUUUCAUGAAUAAAGAAGUAAUUGAAAAUAUUUUCUCUCUUUUUUUGUCAUACUUAGAUACCAUGCUAAUAGCCUUAACUGAGAGCUUCUAUGUGUAAUAAAAAGGGCCAUUCCAUGAACUAAUCUGUAAUUAAUCAUCCUAGAGAUGGUGGCCUAUCUUUUUGUCCCAAGCUCUCCUGAAAUAAUUUCCACUGCCUCUCCUGAUCCCCUGACUUGGUUAGUGUUUAACCAUUCUUAAUAGUAAGAACUUCUUCUGAUAAAGAUAAGUAGCCAUCAAAGAAUGACCUGCCAAUCACAAAUGAGCACUGAAUAAAAAAACUUUUUACACCCUAGCUAAAUACAGGUAGUAGUGUUUUGCCUCAAGUCAAGCUCUAGAGUAAAUGGAAGAGUGAGCCAUUUGUGUUUCCUUUUGAGCUCACCCCCUCCUGUCCUUCUCCCAAAGUAAAUACAUUACCCUUAUCUUCUUCCCUAUCAAAUCCUAUUCUUAUAAAAUAGAUCUGAAAGACAGCUAAAUAAGUAAUUAUCAGUAGUAUUGCCUCUCAUUGGAAACUUGCAUGCUAAGAUUCCUUCAUUUAUUCAUUCAUUCCAUAACGCUGAGUGGCCACUCUGCCCAGCACCAUGGGGAGUAAUGGGGAUGCAGUGGUGACAGAUACAAACAUAGUAUGUUCUUUCAUAGAGCUCAUGAUUUGGAGAUCAGGGAAGGUUGGAAAACAGACACUGAAUAAGAGUACUACCUGUGGGAAAGGAGAGCUAAAGAGAGUGGUGGAGUGUAUGGCAAGAGUUUCUAAUCUAGUCUGCAUGGCAGGGAAUUCCCCUGGGGAAAUGCUAUUUACACUUGAAGAAGGAGUUAACUUUAGUCAAAAAAAACUCAUGGGAAAAUCAUUCCUGAAAGAUGAACUGUGUAUAGAAAGGUCCUGAGGAGGGGCAGAUCAUAGUUUGUUCCAGGAACCAAAGGAAUCCAGCCUGGCUGAAAGGAAGAAAAUAAGCCUUGAUGAUGAUA